UUCUUGUUUUGAUUUUUUAGCUAUGUUACUUAAUCUGUAUGUGAGUAUGUUGCUUGAACAGAACAAAUUAUGCUAAUGUUGUAUACGUGUGACAUUUAUUUUAUAUAUAUGCAUGCUGGUUGGGGGGUUUUAGGGCUGCUGCUUGCUGGUUGUUGGGGGCUUCUACGGCUGGUGGUGGUGUUGUUGUAUGUGUGGCUGCUGCUGCUGGUGUUGUUGUAUGUGUGGCUGCUGCUGUGAGUUGAUGUAGUGAUUUGAGGUGAUGUUUGGCUGCAAAUUAAAGGGUGGAGAUGGUCUUGGGUGUUGGGUGUUUGGCGUGGUCGGUGAUUAGGAGUAGUAUGGCUGCAAUCACUAGUAGAAAAUAGGUAAUGGGAAGCCACUAAUUGGAAGCGGUUAUUGGAAUCCGCUUCUAAUUCCAUACAAAAACCCGGGAAAAAAAAACCAAGAGGAGAAUUGGAAGCGGUUUGGUUUGAACCGCUUCUAAAAAGUAAUUAGAAGCGGUUCAAACCGCUUCCCUAUCUUAAAAAAAAAACCGGGAUUUAAACUCUCUCAUUUCCCCUCCUUCAUUUCUCACAAUUGCGCUCCCUGACUACCUUCUUUGCUUCCUCUUUCACUCUCACACCGUCACUCCACCACAACCACCAUUGCUGUUAGCUUCACUUAACCCCACCACAACAACUACACCAUUGCCUUAGCUUCACUUAGGUGUUGUUAGAGGAUUGAGAUUAAAGGGUGAGGUACUCCUUAAUACGAAUCAUCGAGGCUCAAUUGAAAUGAGCCAAAAAGAGGGAAUGCUUUUAGGCCAGAAACAAUCAAGGAGCUGAUUCGAGCGUUUGAUGAUGCAAGGGAUGAUAGUUCAAUUGGUGUUAUCAUUCUAACUGGCAAGGAGUUGCUGAUAUGGUUAAUACAGGGGAUUGUCAAGGUGGUUCCAUCACAGCAGCUUUGUUGUUGAAGCAGAAAAUCGAUGGUUGUUUCGAGUUAUUCCGUCAACAGCAAGACGCACAAAUGACGGUGAACAACACAACCCAAGCUCAGUUAUUUGAGGAACUCUGCAACGUCAUAACCCAGAGGAACCACGACCAAGAACAAGGGCCACUGGGCUAGCUGUGCAGCCUACCUAGGCUGACUGUGCAGCUGCCUGGGCUACAGUGCACCUGUGCAGCCUGCCUAGGCUGCCUGGGCUGCUUUGCCUGGGCUGUUGUGCAGCUGUGCAGCCUGCCUGAGCUUCUUCUUUUUUUUUUUUUUUUUUUUUUUUUUUUUUUUUUUUUUUUUUUUUCCUUCUUUUUUUUGUCCUUGAAUAACAUGGACGUUUGCUAUUCUUACAGAGUGUGUUUAAUAUUUUGGUGUAAUUAAAUAUUAUUGUUCAUGAUAUAUAUUAAU